rnacentral:lncRNA from 1 species
AAGUAAAUGAAUUCUAUUAAAAAAUGUAAAUAAAAAAAUUACAAUAUACGGGUAAUAUGCAAAAGCAUUGAGAGCUAGAAAAGAAGUAUUUCUACCAUUAGCCGACAAUGCAUUAAUAUUGCAAGAUUUUUGCGUUCUCCCUUUUUCCCAUUUUUCUUUUUUUCUUUUGUGAUUCAUUUAUUGAAUUUAUAGGCAUGUUGUGUGUAAAAAGAAAAAAAAAAAAAAAAAACUCCUAUGCUAUCUUGAUUCAGUAUACCACAACUCGAAGGAGUUCGGUUGUGGCUCGGCGUAGUCGUGGCCUUCCUCCUCUUGUAGGUAGUGCUAAACAGUAGCAGGUAGUCUAACAGGAGUACGUGAACCCCUUGUGUGGUGACCUGUCCCGACAUAUAUGUAGAGCAAUCAUUGGUCUGCUAACCUGGCAACGUCCUUCAUUACAGAAAGCUCACACUUGAGGACAUGAAUAGCUUCACUCACAUGUAGCAAUUGCAGGUCAAUUAUCUUCCCUCUCCUGUUGACCUGCAUCUCCGGAUUCUUGCACAAUAUUUCAUCAUGUGAAUCAAAAAUUGUUGGACUCGGAGGAAUUAUAAUGAAUGAGAUUAAUGACACAAUAUGAAGUAAUAAAAAUCAUAACAAGAAACAAGUUUAAAA